AGGAAAAAAAAAGGGACUUUUUUCUAUCCAAAGGUCGUGACUGUUGGCAGGUUUCUUGCUCAAGAGACCCCGGGAAAAGAGGGAGGAGAGCCGGCGCACCUCUUAAAAGGGCAAGACACACCUUUGUUGGUUCUUCCCCCCCCCCCAAUCCUUUCCCCAGCACCCCCUCGAGGAUUGUGGAUUUUGCCUUCUUGCAAACCGGCGUGGCGAUAAGGCAGCGCAGGCAACUCUCAAACGUGAGGACGCGCGUCGGCAUGGCCAAGCGGUGGGGUAACUGACUCGGGCUUUCCUCAGGUCGGGGGCGCAGGAUGCGCGGAAUCGCCGCAGGAUACAGAGAACCUUCUUCUUGUUAGGAACUGGCACAUUUGUCAAGAGUGUGGUCACAAAUGAGAGAAGAAAAAGAACCAGCGUUUCAACCCAAAAGGAUGCUUGGACCUGUACAGGCACAUACAGGUUGAUUUUUGUACCUUGGAUACUGACAAACAUGCUUUAAGGAGCACACGAGAAGAAAAGAUUACAGAUUGCCAGCAUGCUGAACAAUCUGCCAUCAAAAUUGUUAUUUUCAUGCUAUCUUGGAAAAUUCCAUAAGCAGCACAACUGUGUUUCCUCCAGAUUGUACUACCUCUCUUAUGACCUCUAUCAACUUUUCAUGCUGACUGGAAUGAUGGGAGCUGGAGUACAGCCAACAUCGAGAUGGCCACAAGUUACCCAUCCAUUGUUUCCAAGGCACUGACGUAUUUAAAGCACUUCAAAAUCUAUUCUAAAAAGACUCCCUGGGUCGAGCUCAACUCUUGACGACUACAUGUAGUUUUUGUGGAAACAACACAGUAUCAAUGUAUCGUUGCCUCCUGGAUUUUUUUUUUCAAUUUCCCAGCCCAGCCUACAGUCCUGGAAUCUCCAGGUUGUCUUCCACCCAAAUACCAAGUCUGACCCUGGCCAGAUAGAUACUGCUGCUUUCUGAGUUUAUAUUCUGAGCACACCCAGAAGACAGACAGAAGGUUCAUGCAGCAUGGAGUCUCCCACAAGAUGUGGGCUGGCUAGCAGCUUGGCUGGCUUCAAAAAAGUAUUGGACCAAUUCUUGGAAGUCCUGGGGUCAAUGGGUGCCAACGUGAUGGCAUGGGACUGCCUCUGAAGGCAUCUGCUGGGAGACUAGUGGGCUUCCUUGGGCAGUUGGUGGGCCACUGUGAAAGCAGACUCCAGGACUAGAUGGGUCAGAGGUCUGAUCCAGCAGGGCACAGCUUAUGUUCUUACAUCCUUUCCUAAAGGUCAUGUACUAUCUCUGCCGACCAGCUGUUUCCUCCCAGCAACCAAGGAGAAGCAAUUAUUGCCCCACCCAUCUGUUUUUCAAGUGGCAAGUUAACCGCUAUGAGAACAAUCUUGCACUGUGGCAUACUUGGCAGCACCGGUCCCAUCCCCAGGCUCUCAGCACGAAGGGUUUCUUGUGUGCAUCCCCUCCCAACCUUGGCAGAUAGGAAAGCCCAUUUUUUCCAAACACGUGUCCAGUGACCCCCUCCACCUCCCCAUUCCUUCUCUCUCAAGGGCCAUGC